rnacentral:lncRNA from 1 species
GUCUUCUUCUCUUCUUCCGGUGCCAUACGCACUAUUUGUGAACUCCUUCUAGAAUAACACAGAGAUGUCGGUCUCAAAAACGGCAUAAAAGCAACGGUGUGUGGCGGCCGAGAGAAUGAGCAAGUCAAAAGGACACUACACGAAGGUGACGACGACGACGACGAUGUUGAGGAUAAAGAACCGGAGCGGUUUAACAUCGCCACCGUACAUGGCGGCGGAGAAGAUAACGCCGGCACGAAAGACGAUAACGCCAUUGG